rnacentral:tRNA from 1 species
GGCAACGGGUUUUGAUCCCGUCAUCCGCAGGUUCGAGUCCUGCCACCCCAG